rnacentral:rRNA from 1 species
CAGCAGCCACGGUAAUACAGAGGGUGCGAGCGUUAAUCGGAUUUACUGGGCGUAAAGCGUGCGUAGGCGGCUUCUUAAGUCGGAUGUGAAAUCCCUGAGCUUAACUUAGGAAUUGCAUUCGAUACUGGGAAGCUAGAGUAUGGGAGAGGAUGGUAGAAUUCCAGGUGUAGCGGUGAAAUGCGUAGAGAUCUGGAGGAAUACCGAUGGCGAAGGCAGCAAUCUGGCCUAAUACUGACGCUGAGGUACGAAAGCAUGGGGAGCAAACAGGAUUAGAUACCCCAGUAGUCCCUGUCUCUUAUAC